rnacentral:pre_miRNA from 1 species
GGAAGAAAACGAGAAGGGACGGACAAACACAAACUUCCAGGUAACAACCUGGAAGUUUGUGUUUGUCCGUCCCUUCUCGUUUUCUUCC